CAUGGAUGGCCGGAGUGUUAACCACUCCACCAAUCCGCCCAAUAACACUAGCUUUUAACGUGUACGCACGACUAAGAAUUAGUUGACGUGGCUAUUUGAAAACAAGGAAGUGUUAAGUAGUAGUGGCCGGAAGUUUUGGGUCCUACAAUAUUUAGUUAUCGUCACAGCUCUGAUGACCACUCUAUUAAAGUUUAUAAGAUGUGUACAACACUUCCGGCUGUAUAGCAGAGACGAUGGGGUGCGGACAGGAGGCGAUGUGGUUUAUACUCGUUUUAUUUCCAAUACAAGUGACCGGCAUUGGAGGGACAUGUACAGCCACCCUGAACAACUUCGUCCCUUAUGAAGAAAAAACUAAAGCGACUCUUACCUGUACCAUUGACCAGUGUCAAAACUAUACCGGUGCUUAUCCACACCCAGUGACGUGGUUCAAGUCCAACUCGGAUGUAACCGCUGGUGUGACGUCAACAGAGCUCCCCAACAACGGCAGUCGGAGCACCCUGGUGAUGACCUUACAAAGGUCAGACAACACCAAGGUGAUAAAAUGCAGCUCACCUGCCGCCGAGUCGGUUUCAAAAACAUUAAAUGUGACGUAUAAGCCUGUGGUCACAAUAACACCAACACCGAACCCCUUACUUGUGACAGAGAAUAAAAACGUGACGUUAACCUGUGGUAUCGACAGUAACCCAACGCCGAUGUCAACCCAGUGGAGAUUUGGGACAGCUGUUAUUUCAACCAAACCCAUCUUGCAGCUUACAGCCAGCAGACUUGGUUCUGGUGUUUAUCAGUGUAGCGUCGCAAACGCUGUUGGAACUGCACAGGCUGUAAUCGAGCUCCAAGUGGAAUAUGGACCGAGAUCCGUGUCUUUGUCGCCCAGCACUUCCGUCUACGAGCGGACGGAGGGUAUAGACGAGAUGCCCGUGAUCAGUUGUAGUGCCGACUGCAACCCUCCGUGUAAAUAUAAAUGGGGGAGAACUACUUCCCCAGUUCUCGACUUGGGUAUAACUGGACGCCAAGAGGCAGGCACACACACAUGUCAAGCCUAUAACAAGAUAGGGACCGCUUCCGCGUCCAUCAACGUCAAAGUCAGAUAUCCCCCUGACAUAGUGGAGAACGGGGGAAAAGGGGCAGAGGAAGGGGAGGAAUACUGGUCAAGAUGCAUUGCUAGAGGGAUUCCGGCCAACUACACAUAUCAUGAAUGGUACCAAGUGUAUGAAGAUGGUGGACCGAGAGUCCAGACCGGAAACUUGACCAGUACAGGAUGGAUGCACGUGUCUGACCUUUCCUAUAUGCAUAACGGAAUGUAUUACUGCUCCGUAUCGAAUGGCGUCGCGACCCCUGAAGGUCAGGCUAUCACCACGGGGCCCAUGGGGGCACUUAGGGUCAAUGGUCCCCCUCAUGAUCUCCAGUCUCUCUACACAAAGACGGGAAUCUUAGGUUCAACUGUUAUGUUCCUCGCAGACUUCUUCCAGUUUUCUCAAGGUCAGAUCACAGUCAUGUGGUACAACGUGACCUCAGGAGAGGUCGUAACCCCAAGGCGAGGCAACAUCACGUUGGAAACCAUCUCUUCUUACAAAACAAAGUUCUAUUCAACUGACGUCACCACAUCCGGUUAUCGUAUCGUGGCAACCAUCAGUGAGAUCACUGCCUGGGAUUUCGGCUACUACGUUGUACAUUUGGAGAGCGUGGGACAGAAAAGGGUGGUACACCUGCGAGUCGAUAGAGAGGGAGAAACGGCAAGUGUGACAUUGAAUGGAUGGCUCGUUUCCACUAUAAUAUUGCUGCUAGUGUUGGCGGGGUGUGUACUGAUCGUUGUGUGGGUCUACAGGCGAGGUGUCUUGCCGAGAUGUGGAAAGGAAAAAGAAAAAGAUACAUCAAGUGGAGUCGGGGAUACCGAUGUCCAAAAUUACAGCGAUUCUCCAACGAUCGAUGCGGUGACGUAUGAUCCAAGUGUCUACACAUCUCUCCAAAUACGGCAAGGGGUGGUACCAGAAAAUCCCUAUGGUAACGUACAAAGCGAGCCCGAACAUACCUACGAGUGUUUAAAAGCCAAAGGAAAUAUUGGUCACAGAUCACCUGAAGCUGCACCCGCAGAAGAACAGGAAUUACCUUCCGCCACAGACACUAGCCUAUAUCAGAAUGUGAAUGUUACAAUGGAAAAUCAAAAAAAAAUACGUAAACCGCCCAAGCCCCAUUCCAAACCGAAACUGCAGCUACCAAAGAAAUCUAAGAACAAACAAAAUACUGAAGGUGAGUGUACGUUAUGUACAUUUACUGCGAGACUGGCUCCGCUUCUACCUUUAUUUCAUAUGGGUGGAACUAUCUUUGUGUUUGAUAACGUUUUAUCAUAAUUUUGUUGUUAAGUUUUCGCAUUGAACAUGAUUUCCGUAUGGGAUGACGUCGUGUUUGUCAUGACACCACUACAAGAACAUUUCUAGAGAUCGUAAAUGUAUUCUCUCACACUGUUAAGAAUCUUUUGUUUUGUCUAAGAAAACCUGUUUGAUCUCAACUUUACGUGAAACUUGCCGCCUUAGCGAGAAAAUGAGAGGAAGGUACGAAAUAAAGGAAAUCUAACCAACAAGAGGAGCGGUCGGAAAACUUGAAAUACUGAAAUAGCAGUAUGAAAAAACACUGAAAAAAACACUGAACACUGAAAACACUGAAAAAUUAACAAAUUUUAUAGAAAUAUAGGGUUUUCUACAGGAAAUCGGCUUUCAAAUGAUUUUUGUCUUCCAAAGUCUCCUUUGGACUAAAUUGACAUAUAACGAUCUAAGGUCAUUCUGAUUAUUGCCCUUUGCAGUUCAAUCAUGCAAAGACAGAAUUUUCCUACAGUUCUCUUGAUAGAAAACCAAACCUUAAUGAUAACAUUAAAUAUCUGCGAUUCAUUUUACACUAGCCUGUUUUCACGGCUCUUCGGUAGCUCGGAAUUUAUUAUCCUUGAACUCUCUCUUUCUCGAUAUUAACAUCCCUACUUCCGGACUUACGGUGUUUAAAUAUCGCAGUUGAUUCGGUAUUUAAGUGCUUGUUCCGAAUAUAAUGAUUUUCGAUGAUAUAUAUCGACUGCUGACGGUUCACCUGAUCUGAUUCCCUUGUACUUGUUCAAGGGUCUUUAUGUUAAUCUUUCAUUUAUUCAUCAUUGGUGCCGCUUGUUCUCGAUUUUUAGUUCGAAUUCAAUUUUGUUGACAGUUACAUUUUUUUUUCUAUUUGCCUUUUUUCAUAAAAAAACAUUGAUAACAUUAGAUAUGUCAAAUUCAAACAUUCUACCAUACUUCAGAUAUUAAGAAUUUUGAUGACAUUAGAAUAACAUAUAAUAAAUACCGAAGUGUCAGCAUAACCAAAAUUGAUAAAUCUAGGGCAAAAUAUGAAAAAAGAAAAUAUUUAUACAGAAACCCUUGAGAACAAGAAGACCAUGUUUUCCGGAAGGUCAAUCGUCUUCUGCUUCUUCGAUGACACCAGCAAUGUAAAUUUAAGUCGAAUCCAAGUUAUGCCAAGCCUUCACAUCGAGAAUGAGAGGUUUUUAGGAAGGGUCCAUUUGUAUAGAUUAUCACCCGCUUUCAAUUUAAGGAUAACAUAUGAUGGAUUCUGUGACAGACUUGGCUAGAUUAUGGGCAAAAGGAGGACACACGAAGCAUGGAAUAGUUACUUUAAGAGUCAUUCAAACGGAGCCUUUAAAGAAACUGAAAAUAUGUGACAUAUUCAGAAGAGAUGGGACAGGAACAGUAAGGAUUUUAGCUGAAUUUCA